rnacentral:rRNA from 1 species
UACGUAGGGGGCGAGCGUUUAUCCGGAUUUACUGGGCGUAAAGCGCGUUAAGGCGGUUGGCAAAGUUGGUUGUGAAAUCUCAGGGCUCAACCCUGGAACUGCGACCAAUACUGGUCGACUAGAGUGUGAGAGAGGAAGGUGGAAUUCCCGGUGUAGUAGUGAAAUGCGUAGAUAUCGGGAGGAACACCAGUGGCGAAGGCGGCCUUCUGGCUCAUAACUGACGCUGUAGCGCGAAAGCGUGGGGAGCGAACCGG